ACGGGAGGCAGCAGUGGGGAAUUUUGGACAAUGGGGGCAACCCUGAUCCAGCAAUGCCGCGUGUGUGAAGAAGGCCUUCGGGUUGUAAAGCACUUUUGUCCGGAAAGAAAACCGCCGCCCUAAUAUGGUGGUGGGAUGACGGUACCGGAAGAAUAAGCACCGGCUAACUACGUGCCAGCAGCCGCGGUAAUACGUAGGGUGCGAGCGUUAAUCGGAAUUACUGGGCGUAAAGCGUGCGCAGGCGGUCUGUUAAGACCGAUGUGAAAUCCCCGGGCUUAACCUGGGAACUGCAUUGGUGACUGGCAGGCUUUGAGUGUGGCAGAGGGGGGUAGAAUUCCACGUGUAGCAGUGAAAUGCGUAGAGAUGUGGAGGAAUACCGAUGGCGAAGGCAGCCCCCUGGGCCAACACUGACGCUCAUGCACGAAAGCGUGGGGAGCAAACAGGAUUAGAUACCCUGGUAGUCCACGCCCUAAACGAUGUCAACUAGUUGUUGGGGAUUCAUUUCCUUAGUAACGUAGCUAACGCGUGAAGUUGACCGCCUGGGGAGUACGGUCGCAAGAUUAAAACUCAAAGGAAUUGACGGGGACCCGCACAAGCGGUGGAUGAUGUGGAUUAAUUCGAUGCAACGCGAAAAACCUUACCUACCCUUGACAUGGUCGGAAGUCUGCUGAGAGGUGGACGUGCUCGAAAGAGAACCGGCGC
rnacentral:rRNA from 1 species